GUGAGUCAUCGAAUCUUUGAACGCACCUUGCGCCUUUUGGUAUUCCGAAGGGCAUGCCUGUUUGAGUGUCAUGAAGCAUCAAUCCCCUCGGGUUUCUGAUCCGGGGUGGACUUGGACUUGGGUGUCUGCCGCUCCUGUCGGCUCGCCUCAAAUGACUUAGUGGGAUAAGCAUCCACGGCCUGACGUAAUAAGUUUCGUCUGGGCCAGGUGCGAUGUCCGCUCACAACCCGUGCUCACGCACAAUCUCUUUUGACUCUGGCCUCAAAUCAGGUAGGGCUACCCGCUGAACUUAAGCAUAUCAAUAAGCGGAGGA
rnacentral:misc_RNA from 1 species